rnacentral:rRNA from 1 species
AGUGAACGCUGGCGGUAGGCCUAACACACGCAAGUCGAACGGCAGCACAGAGGAGCUUGCUCCUUGGGUGGCGAGUGGCGGACGGGUGAGGAAUACAUCGGAAUCUACUCUGUCGUGGGGGAUAACGUAGGGAAACUUACGCUAAUACCGCAUACGACCUACGGGUGAAAGCAGGGGAUCUUCGGACCUUGCGCGAUUGAAUGAGCCGAUGUCGGAUUAGCUAGUUGGCGGGGUAAAGGCCCACCAAGGCGACGAUCCGUAGCUGGUCCGAGAGGAUGAUCAGCCACACUGGAACUGAGACACGGUCCAGACUCCUACGGGAGGAAGCAGUGGGGAAUAUUGGACAAUGGGCGCAAGCCUGAUCCAGCCAUACCGCGUGGGUGAAGAAGGCCUUCGGGUUGUAAAGCCCUUUUGUUGGGAAAGAAAUCCAUCUGGUUAAUACCCGGAUGGGAUGACGGUACCCAAAGAAUAAGCACCGGCUAACUUCGUGCCAGCCGCCGCAGUAA